rnacentral:rRNA from 1 species
GUACACGCUGUGACUAGCAUAUCAAUAAGCGGAGGAAAAGAAACUAACAAGGAUUCCCCUAGUAACGGCGAGUGAAGCGGGAAGAGCUCAAAUUUGAAAUCUUAAAGGGUUUCCCUUUACGAAUUGUAGUUUAAAGAAGUGUUUUCUGUUGAGGUUUUGGUAAGAGUUCUUUGGAAUAGGACAUCAUAGAGGGUGAGAAUCCCGUAUUUGACCUUUACUUUCAACUUUGUGAUACACUUUCAAAGAGUCGGAUUGUUUGGGAAUGCAGUCCAAAAUGGGUGGUAAAUUUCAUCUAAAGCUAAAUAUUGGCGAGAGACCGAUAGCGAACAAGUACCGUGAGGGAAAGAUGAAAAGAACUUUGAAAAGAGAGGUUAAACAGUACGUGAAAUUGUCAAAAGGGAAGCGUUUGACACCAGUGUUGUUUUUCUGAAAAUCAAUUAAAGAACUGUUUAUGCUAAGUUGUUUAGACUUUAUCAGCUAACUGUUUAGUUUUGAGCUUUUCUUUAAUGCACUUUUCAGUUAACAAGUCAACAUCAAUUUCUUUUGCUGUAAAAAAGCUUGAGGAAGGUGGCUUGAGAUUCGUCUUAAGUGUUUAUAGCCUCUUGCCUAUGCAGUCGGAGAGAUUGAGGUCUGCAGCGUAGAUCCUUCGGGGCUAAAUGCAUUUGUGCUAAGUUAUAGCAUUUUAUAGACAACUUGUUGACUAUGAUUUGUCUUGUAGCUUACUCGCUUAUGUUAUUUUACCUACGCUUAGGAUGUUGAAGAUGUAGCACAUCAU